GCAGUCGUGGCCGAGUGGUUAAGGCGAUGGACUAGAAAUUCAUUGGGGUCUCCCCGCACAGGUUCGAAUCCUGUCGAUUGCG
rnacentral:tRNA from 1 species